rnacentral:tRNA from 1 species
GUCCCUGAGAUAGCUCAGUUGGUAGCGCAUGAGGCUCUUAAUCUCAGGGCUGUGGGUUCAAGGCCCAUGUUGGGCA